rnacentral:rRNA from 1 species
GAGGAAUAUUGGACAAUGGAGGCAACUCUGAUCCAGCCAUGCCGCGUGCAGGAAGACUGCCCUAUGGGUUGUAAACUGCUUUUAUACAGGAAGAAACCGCUCUACG